AGUGAACGCUGGCGGUAGGCCUAACACAUGCAAGUCGAACGGCAGCACAGUAAGAGCUUGCUCUUACGGGUGGCGAGUGGCGGACGGGUGAGGAAUACAUCGGAAUCUACUUUUUCGUGGGGGAUAACGUAGGGAAACUUACGCUAAUACCGCAUACGACCUACGGGUGAAAGCAGGGGAUCUUCGGACCUUGCGCGAUUGAAUGAGCCGAUGUCGGGUUAGCUAGUUGGCGGGGUAAAGGCCCACCAAGGCGACGAUCCGUAGCUGGUCUGAGAGGAUGAUCGGCCACACUGGAACUGAGACACGGUCCAGACUCCUACGGGAGGCAGCAGUGGGGAAUAUUGGACAAUGGGCGCAAGCCUGAUCCAGCCAUACCGCGUGGGUGAAGAAGGCCUUCGGGUUGUAAAGCCCUUUUGUUGGGAAAGAAAAGCAGCAGGUUAAUACCCCGCUGUUCUGACGGUACCCAAAGAAUAAGCACCGGCUAACUUCGUG
rnacentral:rRNA from 1 species